rnacentral:tRNA from 2 species
GCCGGGUUGGCGGAAUGGUAGACGCGGUGGUCUCAAACACCACUGUCCGAGAGGGCGUGCGGGUUCGAGUCCCGCACCCGGCA